ACCCGCACAAGCGGUGGAGCAUGUGGUUUAAUUCGACGCAACGCGAAGAACCUUACCAGGGCUUGACAUCCCCUGACCGCGUUAUGAAAGUACGUUUUCACCCUCGGGUGACAGGGAGACAGGUGGUGCAUGGUUGUCGUCAGCUCGUGUCGUGAGAUGUUGGGUUAAGUCCCGCAACGAGCGCAACCCCUACGUUUAGUUGCUAACGCGUGAAGGCGAGCACUCUAGACGAACUGCCGUUGACAAAACGGAGGAAGGUGGGGAUGACGUCAAAUCAUCAUGCCCCUUAUGUUCUGGGCUACACACGUGCUACAAUGGCCGGUACAGACGGACGCAAAGCCGCGAGGUGGAGCAAAUCCUAAAAAGCCGGUCUCAGUUCGGAUUGCAGGCUGCAAUUCGCCUGCAUGAAGUCGGAAUCGCUAGUAAUCGCGGAUCAGCACGCCGCGGUGAAUACGUUCCCGGGCCUU
rnacentral:rRNA from 1 species